rnacentral:lncRNA from 1 species
CGUAAGCAUCAAGAGAGGUUCCACACCUCUAAGACGAAGCCAGGUUGACUUCCAAGCUCCUGGGCUUUCUAACUGUUCUUCCACGAGUUGCGCACAGUAUGGUGUUUGCGGGGACUGUGGUGUGUCUACAGAAAAGAGCUUAUAAACCAAAUGGGCAAGGGAGUCAGAGCCUGACAGAUUUCCUUGGUCCUCUACAAUGUCUCUGUGUAACCACCUUCUCAGUGACUAACUUGUUGAACUUGGUGACACUGGCUGACCCCAGUUUCUAGUAUCCAUAGGAGAUCGUGGGACCCUGAGCUGACUGGGUGCGACCAUGCAGCAUCCCUCUGGCAUGCAGCUUCUCGACACUUCUUUCCCUUUUUUGGGGGGGUGGGGGGUGAUGUUCGAGACAGAGUUUCUCUGUGAUGUCCUGGCUGUCCUGAAACUCCCUCUGUAGACCAGGCUGGCCUCAAACACGGAAAUCCACCUGCCUCUCUGCCUCUGCCUCUCAAGUGCUGGGAUUAAAAGCAUGCGCCACUACUGCCCCACACUUCACUUCCUUUUAUUCGUCUGAUAAAGCCACACGGAAGACUAUCAUGCUUCCUCAGAUCACACAGAGGCUAGGGUGACCCCUGGCUCUCCUUGUCUCAUCUGCAUCCCAUGUUUCCGCAUUCUCUGUUGUUGUACUCUUCCCUGAGCAUCCAUCUAGAACAAGCACGGUCACCGCAGAGGAGGUUAACACCUAUGUUGAUCGACGUCCAGACUCGAACCUCCUGGGAAGACGGAAGACGGGCCAGCAAUGGUCAGCAGAGGUUCUCUUCUGUCCUGUCCUCUUGGAAGUGAGCCUGGGAGCCCGAAGCUUGAGCUGAUGGAGGCAGCAGGCCUGCAGCUUAUCAAAUGUGUUAUAAAUCAUCGGUAGACAUGAAAAAGCUUGGUUGUUGGUAAGAAAUGGAUGUGGAGAUUGGACACUCAAUGAGCUCCAAUGUAGGCAGUUACCCCAGAGCUUCUGAAGAGGACACAGAGAAUUGGAUGUAUGGUCUCUCAUGUGCCAGGUAAGUCCUCCACCCCUGAGCUUUGUGCCCAGAUCCUUGGCGGUUUCCCCUUUGGUAAUUUCAUAAACUAACACAGUGCACCCUACUCCCCUCACUCUCAAGACCCCCAACCACACCACCACAUUUUCC